GUACACUCCUGCGGGAGGCAGCAGUGGGGAAUUUUGGACAAUGGGCGAAAGCCUGAUCCAGCAAUGCCGCGUGAGUGAAGAAGGCCUUCGGGUUGUAAAGCUCUUUUGUCAGGGAAGAAACGGUGAAAGCUAAUAUCUUUUGCUAAUGACGGUACCUGAAGAAUAAGCACCGGCUAACUACGUGCCAGCAGCCGCGGUAAUACGUAGGGUGCAAGCGUUAAUCGGAAUUACUGGGCGUAAAGCGUGCGCAGGCGGUUUUGUAAGUCUGAUGUGAAAUCCCCGGGCUCAACCUGGGAAUUGCAUUGGAGACUGCAAGGCUAGAAUCUGGCAGAGGGGGGUAGAAUUCCACGUGUAGCAGUGAAAUGCGUAGAUAUGUGGAGGAACACCGAUGGCGAAGGCAGCCCCCUGGGUCAAGAUUGACGCUCAUGCACGAAAGCGUGGGGAGCAAACAGGAUUAGAUACCCUUGUAGUCC
rnacentral:rRNA from 1 species